rnacentral:rRNA from 1 species
GCAUCGAUGAAGAACGUAGCGAAAUGCGAUACUUGGUGUGAAUUGCAGAAUCCCGUGAACCAUCGAGUCUUUGAACGCAAGUUGCGCCCGAAGCCAUUAGGCCCAGGGCACGUCUGCCUGGGCGUCAC